CGGGGUGAGUAAUGCUUGGGAAGUCUGGCUUAUGGAGGGGGAUAACUACGGGAAACUGUAGCUAAUACCGCGUAGAAUCGGGAGAUGAAAGUGUGGGACCUUCGGGCCACAUGCCAUAGGAUGAGCCCAAGUGGGAUUAGGUAGUUGGUGAGGUAAAGGCUCACCAAGCCGACGAUCUCUAGCUGGUCUGAGAGGAUGACCAGCCACACUGGGACUGAGACACGGCCCAG
rnacentral:rRNA from 1 species